AUGAAUUUCGAGAACGUGUUAAUGAACGAGUCGGAGCUGGAGAAACCCUCGACUUCGGGGACCUCCAAGAAGAAAGUGACGAUCGAGGAGUGUUUCUCCAGGCAGAGUGGGAAGCAGAGGUCGAAAGGCGGUGUAAAGAGGAGCUCCUCGCCGAAUCGUCAUCCGAAUCCGGCGACUCGAUCGGGGAGCUCUUCCUCUGCGAAGAAGAGAUGUACGAGUCCUCGGCAGGAGAAGGAAGAGGAGGAGAGGAUAGUCCUGGAGCUCUCUCCGACCCCCUCCGGAGCCGAGGAACCAGGAGGACCGGGAGUGGACGGAGGUGCCGAACACUCAGGCUUUGAUGGCGGAGAAGAGGACUAUCGGGCAGACAAGGAAAAGGAGCAACUCCGGGAGAAAGCGACGACGAACCCAUGGAUACUAAUGCUGACCAAUCUGGUGUACCUGAGUGGAUGCGGUUUGGCUCCUCUCCCUCGGACCUUGGAUCUGAUGAAGACAGAAUUACAGAAGAUGGCUACCGAUGCGCAGAACUGGGGGAUCUUGGGAUCCGGGAUGUUGAAGCGUUGUAUGAAGGACUUGGUAAGUCAGGGAAAGAAGUUGUUGACCUGUGGCGUACUGGAUAUGGUGGAGCUCAUGGUCGAUGAUACGUCAUACACGACAUUUUUCGACUUGGAGCUGCCCAUCGAGAUCCGGAAGUCAUUUCAAAGCAGCUGGCUCGGCUCUCCACAGGAACUUUCAUCGUAUCCGUCCACGGCUGCCACCUCCACUGUGUCCAUGCCUGCCGCUUCUCAAACAGCACGUGCAGGUGCUAUAUCACAAAACACUUGCGCGGGCGGUUCGGGAGGUGGGUGGCUCGCAGAAAUUGCAAAGAGCGUGAGUACAGCGAGACACGGUGGAGUUAUCUCGCAAUAUACUUAUGCAGCGGUGGACGGAGGCCAGCUAAAGUUUCAGUCGAAGGGCGAAAUUGGACAUACCACCGUUCGACUGGAAAUUUACCCGUUCGCAAAAAUCGUGCAGCAGAAGCCGUUCAACUGGUGGGUCGACGCGGAAUGGCGGACGCUGUUCCACCUCGAUCCCCAGGACCCGGACCUAGCUCUGUUAAGGGAGAUUUGCGAACGGAAAACGAAACUUCUUGUGGAGAGAGGGGUUGAGGGAACGAUGAUACAUCCAGAAUACAGAGACGAAACAAAGGCGAGCAAAUCCUAG
rnacentral:lncRNA from 1 species